rnacentral:lncRNA from 1 species
AAAAAAAAAAAAUGUCAACCAAAACCAACAUGAAUUUCAUAAGAUGAAGGGACAACAUAGACUUACAAAUUAACAAACAUAACAAUACAUGUACAUGUCUAGUUAACAUUUAAUAACCCUCAACUUUCUGAUCCUCCAACUUUAUACCAAUUAAUUUCAACUCACAUGUCUUCACCCCACCUGCCAAAAAACUUGUCACCAAUAUAUGAAUGUUUGUAUGCCAUUGAUUCAAUAAAUCAAUAUUUUUAGAGUAAACAAAAAUACCUACAAAAAGGAGAAGGUUUGUAAAUAAAAAUUAACAUUUAACAUUAGUAAAUUUCAAUAUAAACAACUAUGAGCAUAAGCUAGAAUAUCUUGCAUUUGGAAACAUAAUCAUAUCUUAAGAAAAGCUAUCAAUUACUUCUUAUCAAAUAUUUUUUAUAAUUGCCAUUUUACGUUUUAUAGCUUAUUUAAAUAACUAUAAAAAAAUAUAUAUAUCUUGCAUUUAGAAACAUAAUCAUAUCUUAUCUUGAUCAAUGUUUGAAGUCGAUUUUACAUGAUCCCAUCUCAGCCUACCUGGGCCAAAUGAUACCAUAGUUCUUGCAUUAGAACUCCAGGCUUCUACAAGAUCACAAAUUAUAAAAAUAUUUAUGAGUGGUUAAAUAAAAUUCACACGUUUUAGCAAUUUUCGAAGCCAUGUUUCAAGUUAUUACUAAUUUAUGCAACCAAAUUAGUAAAGUAUAGCAUAUACUCCUACAAGAACAUGUAAUGUGCAUCUACAAGAACAUAUCAAUCGAAAAUAAGAACAUCAUAAAAACCAUACUAGAGUACUAGACACAGCUUCUUCCAUAUAAACAAACCCAUUUACAGAAUGGAAUGAACACCACACUUAACAAAAUCAAGUAUCCUUGGAAAUGUGUUGACCAACAUAAUCUGUUCCUGCCCAAACAUUUCCUCCUACUAAUUUGAUCAAAUCACUAAAUUAACCUAGCUCUGCGAUAUUCAAAAUGUUGGGAUUUGGCAAUAGCCAAAAGGCCUAAAAAUGAAACAUGGUUGCAACAGCCAAUGUACGAACUCGCUCCCUACAGCACCUAAUUUUACUCUUACCUCAACAAAUAUAAAACCGAACAUAAUCAUGUGAAAAUACGCAUAAAGGAUCCACAGUAUAAUGAAGUAAUAAUCAUGUGAAAAUACGUAUAAGGGAAAGGGAUCCACAAUAUAAUGAAGUAAGAAGGAAAGCCAAUCAAGCAUAUUCAAAAAAUCACAUCAUUCAUCCUGAAAUCCAAAUGUCAAGUAAAAUUUGGAACAAGGAGAAAGGUUUUACAUGAUUCUCGAUAAAAGCUGUAGAUGAACAGGAACAAUAGCACUAACACAUUUUUUUCGAUGCUCAGAUGGCCUUAUCUGCCUUGAUAACGAUGUGAUUUCGAUAACCCUUUCUUUUAGAGGCAGCUCUCAUUCGCGACUCGGCUAGACUGCCCUUCAACAGAUCAAAACAAAAUUCAGAACGAAAUUCUAGAACUAGAAAAUCAAAUCACAAAUGGUUUGCCUGAGGAACGAAGCACCGCGGAGGAGAAGGAAGCACCGGAUGUGGUGGUCGCCAAAAUCGCCAGAGAGCUAGGGCUCAAAAGGGUAAGUGGAAGUGAGAUUU